GGGACGGGGGCGACCUGAGUCUCCACGCCUCUGCGCCCCCAGCCUUGCCAAAGCCCUUGGCACCAGCUCCUCGCCCGCUGAUGUCUCUGUGUGCACAGUACCUCGGAAGCCCAGUUCAGUUCCUUCAUAUGUAAAGCUCAUGGGGCUUUGUGAAGAUUUGGAUUAACUUCUCAUUAAUCCCACAAAUCUUAAUUGAGCCCCAUUAAUGGGCCAGGCCCUUAGUGUAUUGAAUGACCUCUGCCUCUGUGCCUGCCAUAAAACAAGGACGUAAGUAGUAUAGUUAUCCGCGCAAGACCAUGGGGCCUCAGGGCACUCUUGGAGGAAAUCAGUCACCUGGAUGAGGUUUCCUGCCCUAGGCAGGGCUGAACUCCACCUCUGCAAGUGAUCUGCUGGGGCCCAUUUGUUUCACUGUUGUGGCCUAGGGAGACCUUGGGCCCCUGGAGAGCAAGGACCUGUCAGCAGCAUGUCUGGACCUCCCAAGCACCUGCUUUGGAGAAAGAGUCGGAAGGACAAGAAGACAGAGUCUUAGAGAGCGGAGACUUGUCGAUGGUCACACAGUAUGAAGCUCUCAGGUUGGAAGUCUCUCGAGGUUUCUUGGACUCCAGAGUCCAGUGAUCAACCACUGAGCUACACCUCUUCCCUUACCAAACCACCCUUCAACUCUGAGCCAGUGUGCUCACCUCUGUGUGGGGACAGACCUAUCCCCUACUAACCAGUGGCCGUGGGAAGGUCACAUAAAACAGUGUGAAAGUGCUCUGAAAGCUGGAAGUAAACGACGGGUUCUCAUUCACGGUC